AAACAGGUAGCUCAAUUGGUAGAGCAACGAAAGUGUAAUUCGUUUGUUGCGGGUUCGAUUCCCGCCCUAGCUU
rnacentral:tRNA from 1 species